rnacentral:lncRNA from 1 species
UCUUACAUUUAAAGAUGUUGUGGAGAAUUUUAGGAUAUCAUGGAGAUAACUGGUAGUAUGUUUAUAUCUGCUUUUCGUUCUCUGCAACCUGCCUUAUCUGCUAAUGACCUCCAAAGAACAGCAUUAACCACAAUUUAUCUAUGGAUAGAAAAGAACGUACUUGUGAAUAAAACAGAUUCCAUCUUACUCUACCAGAGAAUAUGAUGGAAUUCAAAUACGCUUUCAUGGGGAAGCAAUCUAAGGAAUGAAAAAUCUGAUGAGUCCAGUCACUUGGUGGAUUUUUUUUCAUCUUAACAUCUCUCACUGACCUCAGAACUCUACUUCCAUAGUAUGUAUAAACUCAGCAUGCCUUUCCAUGCAUUUGUACUGUGUAUCAAUGGAUGGCAGAAUUUGGGGCUCUCUGUCCAACUCAUCAACAAAACAUUUGGAGUUCAUGAAAGAGCAUACAUAGUGUUUUACUUCAAAAAG